GAGGUCUUAGCUUAAUUAAAGUGUCUGAGUUGCAGUCAGGAGAUGUAUAGGACAAGACUACAGGCCUUC
rnacentral:tRNA from 1 species